GGCUUGUUGAUAAUAAUUUCAAGUYUAACCUGCCCACUGAGUAGUUAAAUGGCCGCGGUAUACUGACCGUGCAAAGGUAGCAUAAUCAUUAGUUUUUUAAUUGAAAGCUUGUAUGAAAGGUUUGAUGAGAAAAAGACUGUCUCUGUAAAAAUUUAUUAGAAUUUUAUUUUUAAGUCAAAAAGCUUAAAUUUGUAUAGAAGACGAGAAGACCCUAUAGAGUUUUAUAAAUGUUUUAAAAAUUAGAUUUUUAGAUAAAGAAGUUUGUUUUUGGAAUUUUUAUUUGGUUGGGGUGACAAAAAAAUUAAGUUAACUUUUUUUAGUACGUAAACAUUGAUUUUUGAGUAAUUGAUCCUAAGUUUUAGAUUAAAAGAUAAAAUUACCUUAGGGAUAACAGCGUAAUUUUUUUUAGAGCUCUUAUCGAAAAAAAAGAUUGCGACCUCGAUGUUGGAUUAAAAUAAAAUAUUGGUGUAGAAGCUAAUAAAUUAGGUCUGUUCGACCUUUUAAAUUUUACAUGAUCUGAGUUUAAACCGGCGUGGG
rnacentral:rRNA from 1 species